rnacentral:rRNA from 1 species
UACGGAGGGUGCAAGCGUUAUCCGGAUUCACUGGGUUUAAAGGGUGUGUGGGGCGGAUUUUUAAGUCAGUGGUGAAAAUCUCCGGGGCUCAACCCGGAAAACUGCCAUUGAUACUAUUAGUCUUGAAUUCUGUUGAGGUGGGGCGGAAUACAUCAUGUAGCGGUGAAAAUGCUUAGAUAUGAUGUAGAACACCGAUUGCGAAGGCAGCUCACUAAGCAGACAUUUGACGCUGAGGCACGAAAAGCGUGGGGGGAUCAAAACAGGG